GCUAACACAUGCAAGUCGAGCGGUAACAGAGAUAGCUUGCUAUCUGCUGACGACCGGCGGACGGGUGAGUAAUGCUUGGGAAUAUGCCUUUUGGUGGGGGACAACAGUUGGAAACGACUGCUAAUACCGCAUAACGUCUACGGACCAAAGUGGGGGACCUUCGGGCCUCACGCCAAGAGAUUAGCCCAAGUGGGAUUAGCUAGUUGGUGAGGUAAUGGCUCACCAAGGCGACGAUCCCUAGCUGGUUUGAGAGGAUGAUCAGCCACACUGGAACUGAGACACGGUCCAGACUCCUACGGGAGGCAGCAGUGGGGAAUAUUGCACAAUGGGCGCAAGCCUGAUGCAGCCAUGCCGCGUGUGUGAAGAAGGCCUUCGGGUUGUAAAGCACUUUCAGUCAGGAGGAAAGGUUGGUAGUUAAUAGCUACCAGCUGUGACGUUACUGACAGAAGAAGCACCGGCUAACUCCGUGCCAGCAGUCCGCGGUAAUA
rnacentral:rRNA from 1 species